UCCUAAUCCCAAAAAACUCCAAAGGCACUAGAUCCCAUCUGAUCUUGAAAGCUAAUCAGUUACAACCCUGGUUAGUACUUGGAUGGGGAACUGGUAAUGAAUGCUAGAUGCUGUAGGCC
rnacentral:rRNA from 11 species